AGAAUGCGUCCAUGGGACCUGGAGCAUAGGAAGCAAUUGAUAGAGUACAUGUACCCCUCCAUGGAUCAGCUGGCUGAAAUGCUUCCUGGAGUCCUUCAAGAGUUUGGGCUGAAAAGCAUUAUUGGCAUGGGAACAGGAGCAGGCGCCUACAUCCUAACUCGAUUUGCUCUAAACAACCCUGAGAUGGUGGAGGGCCUCGUCCUUAUCAACGUGAACCCUUGUGCGGAAGGCUGGAUGGACUGGGCUGCCUCCAAGAUCUCCGGAUGGACCCAAGCCCUGCCGGACAUGGUGGUGUCCCACCUCUUUGGGAAGGAAGAAAUGCAGAGUAACGUGGAAGUGGUCCACACCUACCGCCAGCACAUCGUGAAUGACAUGAACCCCGGCAACCUGCACCUGUUCAUCAAUGCCUACAACAGCCGGCGCGACCUGGAGAUUGAGCGACCAAUGCCGGGAACCCACACAGUCACCCUGCAGUGCCCUGCUCUGUUGGUGGUUGGGGACAGCUCGCCUGCGGUGGAUGCUGUGGUGGAGUGCAACUCGAAAUUGGACCCAACAAAGACCACUCUCCUCAAGAUGGCAGACUG
rnacentral:sRNA from 1 species